rnacentral:lncRNA from 1 species
CACUGGUUGGUCCAAGAAGUCAAGCUGAGAUACGUUAGUCAAACUGAUAUCUCUCAUAGGACACGGUGAGUUUUUAUACAUACAGAGUAGCAUUCUGUUUGUGAGAUGUGGCGUAAGUGAUGUUAUGGGUAUAGGCCUAUGAAAUGCUUUGAUUAAGCUCCAUUAUGUGUCUUUCAUAUUUGAUGGAAAACCAUAUCUAUUAAGGCAUUAGGGAAGACAGGUCAGAUGUUAGGUACGGACUAGGGAGGGUAGAGGAAGACAGGUCAGAUGUUAGGUCCGGACUAGGGAGGGUACGGGUAGGAAGCAGGUCAGAUGUUAGGUACGGACUAGGGAGGGUAGGGUGAGGAAGACAGGUCAGAUGUUAGGUACGGACUAGGGAGGGGUACG